rnacentral:misc_RNA from 1 species
GGGACUCCAGAGCUUCUAUGAAAGCUUCCCGCUCUGCCAGGUCUUCCUCGAUUAUGGCAUAAUCAAUGUCCACUCUCCUCCCCGUAAUGGAUUUUAGCAAAGGACUGAAGUAACUGGGACCAAAUAGAAUUCUCUCGAGCUCAUACAAUUCCGAAUCAGUAGCAAGUUCAAGCACCGGCCGGAGAUCAGGAUCAAAUGCACCUUGGCCUUUUUUUGAUAUUCCUCCGAGAGAACAACGGGCAAGCCCUAGAAUCCUCCUAUUCCCAAUGGAGUUGAG